GUUAGCUGCUGGAGAGGAGGAGGCUACAUGUCCUUCUUGUUCGUUGGUUAUUAAGGUAAUUUAUGAUAAAGAAACGUUUGCAAGCAAACAGGAAGAGCUUGUUAAAAGUGAGGAGAAAGAACUCGUGGCACAAAAAGCUUAAGAUAUCAGAGGGGAAAAAAGGACAAUCACCAUGGCAGGUCGUGGCAGAGGAAGAGGUAAACCUACUAUGUCAAUUAGUACAGAACAACUGGGUUUCUCUAAAGGUGAAGCAUUGCCACCACCGGUUUUACAACCUCCUCCAAAGUAUCCUCCCUUGGAAUACAAACCGCUACCUCUAAUCGUUACGACCGAAAUGAGUUAUUUAUUGGAGCUUAAAAGAGAGUUUGCAGAAUACACAAGAGAGUCACCGAACAAUGUUCUACCUGUUGUGAUUAAAAAAGAUAUCGAAAGGUAUUCGGACCGAUAUCAAGACUUAAUCACAGACAAAAGUAGUUACGAAACCAGGUACGAUUGGACUAGAAUGCCGGCAGAAUUGAAACCUCAGCCGCGAAAACGAAAAGGACAAAAAGUAGAUAAGUCUGAUAAAAAACAAAAGAAUAUCGACAUAGAAACAAAGUUGCAAGAGUUGGAGAAGAAGGAAAGUAUGCAGCAAAGCGACGCGGAAGAAGAAGAGAAAGAAGAGGAAGAAUCCGAAGAGAAGGAUGAGGAACACGCGGAAGACGAGGAAGAGGAAUUGGAUGAAGAGAUGGAUGAAGGAACCGAUUACGUGAAUAAUUAUUUCGAUAACGGAGAAGGUUAUGACGAUGAAGACGAUAAUUUAGACGAUGGACCUAUUUAUUAACGCAUGAUCUUUUAUAUAAGAAUCGGAAAUUCCUCUUUACUAUGAAUUAUCGAACUAGAAUACUUACAAGCUGCUAAUUGACCACUGAUUGUAUGAGCUUAGGUGUACCCGUUCCUUCAAAGAAUUGUACAUAGGAUGAGCCACUAGAAGCUGUAGCAUCAAAAUAACUUGUAAUUCGUUAAUAUUGGUAAAGAAAGACAAAAUUGUUUUUUAUGCCUCAAGAGACUCUCAUAAUGAAAAUUUACAGUUUCUAGCGACUUAUCGUGUAAUCAGGAAAUGGAAGGAAAUCGAUUAUGGAACAAUGAAGAAAACAAUCAAGGGUGUCACAGGAAGCGUCGGCGUGUUCUUUAUUACGAGUAUUUCAAUUUCUAAUAUAUAAUAUAUAUAUAUAUUUAUAUAUAUAAUAUAUAUAUAUAUAUAGCCAUAAUAAUCUGCAAUUAUUGUAAUAAAUGAUCCUCCUCUACGAUGCAAUCGGAGAGUAAAAACGCAACUUUGGACGAGAAGGGGAUGCGCAAAAGUACCGUAGUGUUACGUAAUGCUUACGUUUACGCUCGCCAGGUAAUAGUUCCAUUAUUAAUCCCAAAUAUUAUUCAUCAUCUCUCGCUUUAUCGCAACAAUAAUUCCUAUUCGUCUUCGCUCUCGGAAUGUGCACACUGAACGCGCAGAAAAGGAUUGUGAAAAGAAGAAGAAGAAAAAAAAAAAAAAGAAGUCAAUGGUGGUGGUGGUGAUGAUGAUCACGAAAGAAGUUCGAUGGUUUUUCCUGAAAUUUCCAGCCGCUUGCCUCCUUGUGUGCUUGUCUUUUGGUAAGUCAAUUUUGAAUGAAAAUAUCGAUUUAUAGAGAUUGGUGAAGAGGGACAAGCGAUCGAAUCGUUUGCAAUAAUGUGGCGGCGUGGGCGGGAAACGGAGAUUGUACGUCUAGGCUUCGGGUGACACUUGACACCUUGAAUUUCGCGGAAAUAUUUUGGUUAAAAUUGAAAUCUAAAAGAUCGAAAUCUAAUACCGUCGAAUAAUUGAAAACAACGCCAUAUGUAGAUGAGAAAUUUCCUAACGAAUUCAACGCGAUAUUCAGUGUCACGAAUUGGCAGUAAAUCGAGCAAGCUAAAAAGAAUGCCACCCCUUGAAAUUUCGUUCGAUUUUAGACACGUGUUGGCAUGGUCCAUCUCUUCCAGCGACUAACAACAAAUUGCCUACGUUAUGGCAAACGGUUCAGGUCCGAUAUAAAUAUACCAGCUGAUAACACAUCGUUAGAAGAACGCAGAAACGUGCGACAGACUCUUAUAAUAUGACAAAAUAUAAAUGGACAAACGUGUCGCUUUCAUGUUACCCAUCAACUAUCUGUUCAACAUUUUUUAUCUACUCGUUCGACCGUCAUUCUGUUUUGCAAAAUAUGAGAAAUCCGACCGAAUUCAUCUUUAUAUCAUUCGUUGUAUCGAAUCAUUUAACAGCAUCACCGAUAUUUCCUAAUCCCACGUGAUUCUCUUAUUCUGACAAAACAGUUUCUCUUCCUCUUCGUUUCUACCAUCGUUGUUCAAACGUUAGCUUCUUUUCGCCCGUAUCAUUCGUAAUAAUAUAUUAUAUAGUGUAUAUAGAUAUAUUUUUUUUUAAUAUAUAUAUAUAUAUAUAUACUUUGUAUAUAACCGUCGCAGUUUAAUAUAGUACGACCUAUCUAUGUAUAAGUAGGCAUAAAGACUGAGGCGAGAAUACAGGCGAAAUCCCGAACAGUAGUUCCUCGCGUGUUACGUUCCUUUUUCUUUUUCUUUUUCUUCCAAAAGAAAAUAAAAAAUAUAGUAAAGUCUGUCUAUAAAUGGUAUUCGCAGCGUGUAGGCAGAGUUUACUGUAUUUUCUUGUUAU